UACGAAGGGGGCUAGCGUUGCUCGGAAUCACUGGGCGUAAAGGGUGCGUAGGCGGGUCUUUAAGUCAGGGGUGAAAUCCUGGAGCUCAACUCCAGAACUGCCUUUGAUACUGAAGAUCUUGAGUCCGGGAGAGGUGAGUGGAACUGCGAGUGUAGAGGUGAAAUUCGUAGAUAUUCGCAAGAACACCAGUGGCGAAGGCGGCGACCUGGGUCGAGACUGACGCUGAGGCGCGAAAGCGUGGGGAGCAAACAGG
rnacentral:rRNA from 1 species